AGCGAACGCUGGCGGCGUGCUUAACACAUGCAAGUCGAACGCGAAGGGAGGCUUCGGCCUCUGAGUAGCGUGGCGCACGGGUGCGUAAGACGCGGGUGACCUAUCCUUGAGGCGGGGAUACCCUCGCGAAAGCGGGGCUAAUACCGGAUGAGCCCACAGGCAGAGAUGCCCGGGGGCAAAGGGUGCAGUUUUAUGGCUGCAUGUCUUCAGGGCGGGGCCCACGGCCUAUCAGCUAGUUGGUGGGGUAAUGGCCUACCAAGGCGAAGACGGGUAGCUG
rnacentral:rRNA from 1 species